rnacentral:rRNA from 1 species
UACGUAGGGUGCGAGCGUUAAUCGGAAUUACUGGGCGUAAAGCGUGCGCAGGCGGUUCGUUAAGUCAGAUGUGAAAGCCCCCGGGCUCAACCUGGGGAACUGCAUUUGAAACUGGCGGGCUUGAGUGUGGCAGGAGGGGGGUGGAAUUCCGCGUGUAGCAGUGAAAUGCGUAGAGAUGCGGAGGAACACCGAUGGCCGAAGACAGCCCCCUGGGCCAACACUGA